GGAUUCCCCUAGUAGCGGCGAGCGAAGCGGGAAGAGCUCAAAUUUAUAAUCUGGCACCUUCGGUGUCCGAGUUGUAAUCUCUAGAAAUGUUUUCCGCGUUGGACCGCACACAAGUCUGUUGGAAUACAGCGGCAUAGUGGUGAGACCCCCGUAUAUGGUGCGGACGCCCAGCGCUUUGUGAUACAUUUUCGAAGAGUCGAGUUGUUUGGGAAUGCAGCUCAAAUUGGGUGGUAAAUUCCAUCUAAAGCUAAAUAUUGGCGAGAGACCGAUAGCGAACAAGUACCGUGAGGGAAAGAUGAAAAGCACUUUGGAAAGAGAGUUAACAGUACGUGAAAUUGUUGGAAGGGAAACGCUUGAAGUCAGACUUGCUUGCUGAGCAAUCGGUUUGCAGGCCAGCAUCAGUUUUCCGGGAUGGAUAAUGGUAGAGAGAAGGUAGCAGUUUCGGCUGUGUUAUAGCUCUCUGCUGGAUACAUCUUGGGGGACUGAGGAACGCAGUGUGCCUUUGGCGGGGGUUUCGACCUCUUCACACUUAGGAUGCUGGUGGAAUGGCUUUAAACGACCCGUCUUGA
rnacentral:rRNA from 1 species